rnacentral:rRNA from 1 species
GAUCCUGGCUCAGGGUGAACGCUAGCUACAGGCUUAACACAUGCAAGUCGAGGGGCAGCAUGGUCUUAGCUUGCUAAGGCUGAUGGCGACCGGCGCACGGGUGAGUAACACGUAUCCAACCUGCCGUCUACUCUUGGCCAGCCUUCUGAAAGGAAGAUUAACCCAGGAUGGGAUCAUGAGUUCACAUGUCCGCAUGAUUAAAGGUAUUUUCCGGUAGACGAUGGGGAUGCGUU